rnacentral:misc_RNA from 1 species
AGACACACAUUGAUUAUUGGGAGGUACUAUUUCUUUCCGGUUCUUCCCAUGUUUUGAGUGGUGUUAUACCUCUUGUUCAUAUGUAUAAGUUCUUCAGGCCAGUUGUCAUCUUUUUGGAAAUUUUCAAAUUGCUCAUCCUUUAGAAUUGGUUAAUGCUUUGAAAUAGAAAUUUAACGCAGAUGAAAGGAAAUAGACUACACUUCUUCUCCCUCCCCCAUUUCUCACUCACAAAUGUCCACAGGUUUCUGUGUGCAAGCUUAAUGUAUUAAAUUAUUUCUUGGAUUAAGUUCUCAUCAUCAUUGAUCAGAAGAAUAAUACCUGAGCAUUUAUGAAUACUUCAUUGCAAUGUUUGUGUGAAAUUGCUGAUAUAUUCUGUUCUAGAGUUGAAUGUGUAUUGGACAAGUAUAUCAACAUAUUCAAUUUAACAGGCCCUUUUGGUGGUUUGCAAUU